rnacentral:rRNA from 1 species
ACCAGACUCCUACGGGAGGCAGCAGUGAGGAAUAUUGGUUAAUGGGCGGAAGCCUGAACCAGCCAAGUCGCGUGAGGGAAUAAGGCCCUACGGGUCGUAAACCUCUUUUGCCGGGGAGCAAGGGCGGGGACGUGUCCCGGCCCGGAGAGUACCCGGAGAAAAAGCAUCGGCUAACUCCGUGCCGGCAGCCGCGGUAAUACGGAGGAUGCGAGCGUUAUCCGGAUUUAUUGGGUUUAAAGGGUGCGUAGGCGGGCUUUUAAGUCAGCGGUAAAAAUUCGGGGCUCAACCCCGUCGUGCCGUUGAAACUGAUGUUCUUGAGUGGGCGAGAAGUAUGCGGAAUGCGUGGUGUAGCGGUGAAAUGCAUAGAUAUCACGCAGAACUCCGAUUGCGAAGGCAGCGUGCCGUGCCGCCACUGACGCUGAGGCACGAAAGCGCGGGGAUCGAACAGGAUUAGAUACCCGGGUAGU